AACAACAACAAUAAAACGCAAAAAAGAAAGAAAUAUGCUAUAAAACCCCCCUAGAGCCUCCAUUGUUGAACCCUCUCUUAACUUGGCAAACACCACAAAAACAAAAGAAAAAUGGCCAUCCCCUAGCUAGGUGAAGAAGAAUGAAAACCUCUAAUUUAUCUAGAGGUUAUUCAUCUUUUAGGGGAUGGCCUAAAUACAAAAUGAAAACUCUCUAGUUAAGUGGUUUUGUGUUCAUGUAAGGAAAGCGUUUUAAGAUAUGGAGCAAUGAAGACUGCAGAAGGCUGAUUCAGACUGCG
rnacentral:lncRNA from 1 species